GACCCCCGCCCCCCCCUUCUUCCUCCCCUGCGGAGGGGAGCGUGAGACCGGCAUAUGCACAUUCUCGAGGGCUCGCUACAUUUUUGGAGAAGUGGUGUCCAAAGUCAGACAGGAGUAAGAAUGGUCCAGUUGGCAUGGGCAACAGUAAGAGCUUCCUCGCCAUGCUGCCAUGGCAACUGUAAAACGUCACACUUGGGACAGAGGCAUGCCAAAUUGCAUUGCUUUUGCAUUCUGCGUUUUGCUUGGCUGGCAGGCGAGAUGCAGUCUUGCAUUGGGUGAGUCUCCACACACACACACACACACAGACACAAACACACA